rnacentral:rRNA from 1 species
AAAUAGAACUUUGCAGAGAGAGUUAACAGGGCGUGAAACCGUUAAUUGGCAAACGAAUCGGAGCCACGAAGUCGUUUCGAUGCUAGUUGGGCCAAGUUCAGUUUGGGAAUCAAAAAAUUCUCAGGCGUAUUCCUGGUGCAACCAUUGUAAGCGUACACUGCAACCAGUUAGACAGUUGAAAAUGGAACCAGUCAUUAGAGUUAGUAGUAGUGAGGUGUCUCUUCGGGGUCAUCUUAUUGCUGGGCGUCUAGUGGGUGAACUAUUUUCAAGUACUGACUGGCACAAUGAAAAUCACUCUAUGAGUGUUGUAUACAAUGCGGUUUAGUAUACUAGUGUCUACAUGCUGGACCAUGGGGUUUAAGCUCGAUAUCUUUGAAUUUGGACUUGCUAUCUACUAAAGGGCAACUUUUGGUGUUAGUUUAGUUUCCAUCUAAUCGGGUGUUGACUUGAUCUUAUGUUGUUCUAGUAUGAAACGAUUGGGUGUUAGUAUAACUAGAUUCGCCGUUGAUUGGCAGUGAGUAGGUCGGCUUUCCGAACGACCCGUCUUGAAACACGGACCAAGGAGUCUAAUUAGGCAUCGAGUCGAUCGGUCUUGAAUAGGCCAGACUUGGGGAUUCCCUCAGAUUGAAGGCGUAGAGACAUGUGAUCAUGGGGACAAUACCAGUCCUUAUGCGCAACAUGUGCCUGUUCGUAUAACAAUGUUGUAAAAUUGUUGGCGGAGCAAAGAGAUGCUUGAUUGGUACCCGAAAGAUGGUGAGCUUGGGCAAGUUGAAGCCAGAGGAAACUCUGGUGGAGGACUGUAGCGAUUCUGACGUGCAAAUCGAUCGUCAGACCUGAGUAUAGGGGCGAAAGACUAAUCGAACCAUC